rnacentral:rRNA from 1 species
CAGCAGCCGCGGGAAUACGUAGGGUGCAAGCGUUAAUCGGAAUUAUUGGGCGUAAAGCGAGUGCAGACGGUUACUUAAGCCAGAUGUGAAAUCCCCAAGCUUAACUUGGGACGUGCAUUUGAAACUGGGUGACUAGAGUGUGUCAGGGGGAGGUAGAAUUCCACAUGUAGCGGUGGAAUGCGUAGAGAUGUGGAGGAAUACCGAUGGCGAAGGCAGCCUCCUGGGAUAACACUGACGUUGAGGCUCGAAAGCGUGGGGAGCAAACAGGAUUAGAGACCCCUGUAGUCCCUGUCUCUUAUAC